GGCUCAGGAUGAACGCUAGCGACAGGCUUAACACAUGCAAGUCGAGGGGCAGCACAGGUAGCAAUACUGGGUGGCGACCGGCGCACGGGUGCGUAACGCGUAUGCAACCUACCUAUAAUAGGGGGAUAGCCUUCUGAAAGGGAGAUUAAGACCGCAUAAUACAACUGAAUCGCAUGGAUUAGUUGUAAAAUAUUUAUAGAUUAUAGAUGGGCAUGCGUCUGAUUAGAUAGUUGGAGAGGUAACGGCUCACCAAGUCAACGAUCAGUAGGGGUUCUGAGAGGAAGGUCCCCCACACCGGAACUGAGACACGGUCCGGACUCCUACGGGAGGCAGCAGUGAGGAAUAUUGGUCAAUGGGCGAGAGCCUGAACCAGCCAAGUCGCGUGAAGGAAGAAGGUCUUAUGGAUUGUAAACUUCUUUUAUAGGGGAAUAAAGAUGAGUACGUGUACUCAGUUGUAGGUACCCUAAGAAUAAGGAUCGGCUAACUCCGUGCCAGCAGCCGCGGUAAUACGGAGGAUCCGAGCGUUAUCCGGAUUUAUUGGGUUUAAAGGGUGUGUAGGCGGGUUGAUAAGUCAGUGGUGAAAGGUUUGCGCUCAACGUAGACAUUGCCAUUGAAACUGUCAGUCUUGAGUACAAAUGAGGUAGGCGGAAUGUGUUGUGUAGCGGUGAAAUGCAUAGAUAUGACACAGAACACCAAUUGCGAAGGCAGCUUACUGGGAUGUAACUGACGCUGAG
rnacentral:rRNA from 1 species